UUAGUUAUUAUAUUCUUAUUUUUCAUGCAUCAAGAGACAUUUAAAGAUUUAUAAACUUGUUUUUGUGAAAAUCAGUCCAAUAAUCAUUAUUUAAUGUUGAGAAGAGCUGCUGUUGAGUCUCAUAUCAGUGUGUGUGAGUGUCGUUCGUCUCUUUCUCUGCUGGAGUUUGUGUUCAUUUGAGUGUGACGGAGGUUUUUGUACGACGCUUUCACUAGAAUGAAGCACUGUGGUGGACUUUCGGUGGAGGAACUAAACUGACCAUCACUGGUCCCGCAGUGAAGCCCUCCGUGUCUCUGCUGCCGCCCUCUUCUCUGCAGAUCUCUGGAGACUCAGCCGCACUGCUCUGCCUGCUCAGCUCUUACUCUCCACAGGGGGCGACGGUGAGCUGGACGCUGGAGGUCAGCGAGGGGGUCCAGACCAGCGCAGAGAGCGAGCGGGACGGACGCUACAGCCGCAGCAGCGUCCUGAGCCUCAGCAAAGCACGCUGGGAAGGCGCGGAUCGCUUCGUCUGCAGAGUAAGACAUGACGGAGCUGAUCACGAGGCCUCGUUCCUCAAGAGCUCCCAGUGCUGAUGUUUCUCCGGUCCAGACGAGCCGUAUCUGAGCGUCCGGCAGGAUUCACAGCAGUCACGUGAUUUACAGCUCAAUACUGAAGCAGUCUUUCAAUGUGCUGCCAUUGCUGUUCAUUCAAUAAAGCUUCUGAACGCGUUA